rnacentral:rRNA from 1 species
CGUGUAGGCGGGAUCACAAGUCGGAAGUGAAAUCCCCGGGCUUAACCCGGGAACUGCUUCUGAAACUGUGGUUCUUGAGUACUGGAGAGGAAAGCGGAAUUCCUAGUGUAGCGGUGAAAUGCGUAGAUAUUAGGAGGAACACCAGUGGCGAAGGCGGCUUUCUGGACAGAAACUGACGCUGAGGCGCGAAAGCGUGGGGAGCAAACA